AGAGUUUGAUCAUGGCUCAGAUUGAACGCUGGCGGCAGGCCUAACACAUGCAAGUCGAACGGUAACAGGAAGCAGCUUGCUGCUUCGCUGACGAGUGGCGGACGGGUGAGUAAUGUCUGGGAAGCUGCCUGAUGGAGGGGGAUAACUACUGGAAACGGUAGCUAAUACCGCAUAAUGUCGCAAGACCAAAGAGGGGGACCUUCGGGCCUCUUGCCAUCGGAUGUGCCCAGAUGGGAUUAGCUUGUUGGUGGGGUAACGGCUCACCAAGGCGACGAUCCCUAGCUGGUCUGAGAGGAUGACCAGCCACACUGGAACUGAGACACGGUCCAGACUCCUACGGGAGGCAGCAGUGGGGAAUAUUGCACAAUGGGCGCAAGCCUGAUGCAGCCAUGCCGCGUGUAUGAAGAAGGCCUUCGGGUUGUAAAGUACUUUCAGCGGGGAGGAAGGGAGUAAAGUUAAUACCUUUGCUCAUUGACGUUACCCGCAGAAGAAGCACCGGCUAACUCCGUGCCAGCAGCCGCGGUAAUACGGAGGGUGCAAGCGUUAAUCGGAAUUACUGGGCGUAAAGCGCACGCAGGCGGUUUGUUAAGUCAGAUGUGAAAUCCCCGGGCUCAACCUGGGAACUGCAUCUGAUACUGGCAAGCUUGAGUCUCGUAGAGGGGGGUAGAAUUCCAGGUGUAGCGGUGAAAUGCGUAGAGAUCUGGAGGAAUACCGGUGGCGAAGGCGGCCCCCUGGACGAAGACUGACGCUCAGGUGCGAAAGCGUGGGGAGCAAACAGGAUUAGAUACCCUGGUAGUCCACGCCGUAAACGAUGUCGACUUGGAGGUUGUGCCCUUGAGGCGUGGCUUCCGGAGCUAACGCGUUAAGUCGACCGCCUGGGGAGUACGGCCGCAAGGUUAAAACUCAAAUGAAUUGACGGGGGCCCGCACAAGCGGUGGAGCAUGUGGUUUAAUUCGAUGCAACGCGAAGAACCUUACCUGGUCUUGACAUCCACGGAAGUUUUCAGAGAUGAGAAUGUGCCUUCGGGAACCGUGAGACAGGUGCUGCAUGGCUGUCGUCAGCUCGUGUUGUGAAAUGUUGGGUUAAGUCCCGCAACGAGCGCAACCCUUAUCCUUUGUUGCCAGCGGUCCGGCCGGGAACUCAAAGGAGACUGCCAGUGAUAAACUGGAGGAAGGUGGGGAUGACGUCAAGUCAUCAUGGCCCUUACGACCAGGGCUACACACGUGCUACAAUGGCGCAUACAAAGAGAAGCGACCUCGCGAGAGCAAGCGGACCUCAUAAAGUGCGUCGUAGUCCGGAUUGGAGUCUGCAACUCGACUCCAUGAAGUCGGAAUCGCUAGUAAUCGUGGAUCAGAAUGCCACGGUGAAUACGUUCCCGGGCCUUGUACACACCGCCCGUCACACCAUGGGAGUGGGUUGCAAAAGAAGUAGGUAUCUUAACCUUCGGGAGGGCGCUUACCACUUUGUGAUUCAUGACUGGGGUGAAGUCGGAACAAGGUAACCGUAGGGGAACCUGCGGUUG
rnacentral:rRNA from 1 species